CACGUAGGGCGCGAGCGUUGUCCGGAAUUAUUGGGCGUAAAGAGCUCGUAGGCGGCCUGUUGCGUCCGCUGUGAAAUCCCGGGGCUCAACCCCGGAACUGCAUUCGAUACUGCUGAGCUAGAGUACUGGAGAGGAGAUUGGAAUUUACGGUGUAGCAGUGAAAUGCGUAGAUAUCGUAAGGAAGACCAGUGGCGAAGGCGGAUCUCUGGACAGUUACUGACACUGAGGCACGAAGGCCAGGGGAGCAAACGGG
rnacentral:rRNA from 1 species